ACGGCCACGCCCACUCCCCUCCACUGAGCAUUUAUGGCCGCCACUGCCUCCUUCCCACUCCCCCUCAGCCCCAACCCCCACCCCGGACCUGGCUGCCCUUUGAGACCCUGUCCCUGCCUACCUAAUCCACACUGACCCCAUUCGCCCCUGAACACCCUUCGUCCUCCUCCAAAACCCUCCUACUCUGUCUGGUCCCCAGUUGUACGACAUCUUCCCGAGCCUCCUGAACUGGGUGCCUGGGCCGCACCAACGCAUCUUCCAGAACUUCAAGUGCCUGAGAGACCUCAUCGCCCACAGCGUCCACGACCACCAGGCCUCGCUAGACCCCAGAUCUCCCCGGGACUUCAUCCACUGCUUCCUCACCAAGAUGGCAGAGAAGAAGGAGGACCCGCUGAGCCACUUCCACAUGGAUACCCUGCUGAUGACCACACAUAACCUGCUCUUUGGCGGCACCGAGACGGUGGGCACCACGCUGCGCCACGCCUUCCUGGCAUUCAUGAAGUACCCGAAAGUUCAAGGGCACCGUCUGUGCCUGGGAGAGUCGCUGGCGCGCAUGGAGCUCUUUCUGUACCUCACCGCCAUCCUGCAGAGCUUUUCGCUGCAGCCGCUGGGUGCGCCCGAGGACAUCGACCUGACCCCGCUCAGCUCAGGUCUUGGCAAUUUGCCGCGGCCUUUCCAGCUGUGCCUGCACCCGCGCUAACGCCCCGGCCCUUCCAGAUUCGCCUGUGAGCGAUGAGGCCCACCCAUGUGGGUUGCUACGUCCCCUUCUUGGUCCACGGUCUGCCUCCAUCCCUCUGGCAGUCACGCUGUCUUCCCUGCAUGCUGUGCCUGCCGCGUGCCCUUCCCCCAUCCCUCCAAUCUGUACCCCGUCUGCAGGGCAGAGGCAGAUGUGGCAUGUCUUUUUGUACCCACAGAGCUUGUUCUAUGGCACGCCCUUUUCUGGGCUUUUUGUAUCAUUUCUUAGUACAUUGUAAUAGAUUCAAACCAGUCUUGGCUGAAUUAAA
ensembl:lncRNA novel transcript